GUCAUCCACACCUGGCAAUAACUACAGGAAUCACGCUCUUGAAAAUACAUAAGACGGUUAUUGACCAUGCGCUCAAAGGUCUUCCCCAGACAACUUGUCAGCGCUAUGGCUCGGUAACUGCACGGCUGCGAGGGAUCUUUUCCUGGCUUCAGCAGUGGAAUUAUUAUUGCCUCCUUCCAGCCAGAAGGGAGAACACCUUCUAGCCAGACAAGAUUAAAGAAAUCCAGGACAGACUUUAAUGAAGUUAAAGACAGUUGUUUAAGCAUGGCGUACACUAUGCGAUCAGGUCCAGGUGCCGAGUUUUUAGGGGAUGACAGGGCCCUUUGCAGCUCCGCCAUUGAAAAAGGAGCAUCGGGACCUGAUGAUGUACUGCAAAUGCUGAAGUUGAAUUCUUUGAACCUUCAUCUAAAGAAACAAAGUGUGCUCUCGUGUGGUUCUGACGGAAAAGCAGUUUCAACAAGAACCCUCCGCUUCAGGAACCCAGUUAUACUUUAUGUGACCCAUCUGAUGGCUCCUGACUAGGCUAUGCCGCUCUGAAGCAUUGAGAUGGCGAAAGGUCGUGGGGUCUGCACCUCUGCACAUCGAAAGAUGAAUCAGUCAUUCCACACUGUGCUUACUGGCUUUGCAUCGAGUCUAACAAAUCCGACAUGGCUGAACUGCCUUUUUCAAGUUAGUUUGAAAUAGCAUCCCUUAUGCACCUGCAUUUCAAUUAAGAUCUGUGUUACAAGAAUGACAGACCACUCAACAGUGAUGAACAACAGUGAUGAAAGGUGGAAGUGCUGGAACGAAGAUGCGUUAAUCUGUGUGAAAGGUGCUUUGUAUGUGUCUGAGUCAUGGCCAUAAGUCACAAGCUAAUUUCUGUCCUCAUAAGAGGUGUCAACUAUGCUCUUUCUAUCUACUAACCUGCUCCACUUUAGGGUUCCCUGUAAACUAAUGGAACACAUCAUACACCAGCACGUUGUUAACCACGUUCAGUCUAUAAAUUUCUUUUUUUAAAUUCCAGCAUGGCUUUAGAAAAGGGUAUUUAGACAAAAGUAACAUAAUUCGGUCACAGCAUUUUAAACUGUCUUGAUUUCUGGGUUCACGUAGAUGCAGUAUUUUUUUUAUUUUGUGAGGGCUUUUGGCACUGUGUUUUAUGCUUGCUUGUUGGCCAAACUAGACCCAUUAAAAUUUGAUCUUGCUACCAUUAACUGGAUAUGCAGUUUCUUGACUAACCGCAACCAUGCCAACAAUUCGUGAGGACAACCUAUCAUAUCCCCACCAUGCAGCAUUCCUCAGACUACAUAUGCAUCACAUUUUAAUCAAGUGUUAAGCAAGGCCUUUAGGUGAUCGGUCUUGUAUAAUUACACGUCCCUCCGUUAUUUAACACCACACGGUUCUUCAACCUGACAGAUAAAUAAAUAUAUUGCCAAGUAAAUUGUUUACAAGGCUAAUUACCCCAU